UACGUAGGGGGCUAGCGUUAUCCGGAAUUACUGGGCGUAAAGGGUGCGUAGGUGGUUUCUUAAGUCAGAGGUGAAAGGCUACGGCUCAACCGUAGUAAGCCUUUGAAACUGGGAAACUUGAGUGCAGGAGAGGAGAGUGGAAUUCCUAGUGUAGCGGUGAAAUGCGUAGAUAUUAGGAGGAACACCAGUUGCGAAGGCGGCUCUCUGGACUGUAACUGACACUGAGGCACGAAAGCGUGGGGAUCAAACAGGAUUAGAUACCCCCGUAGUCCCUGAGCGGG
rnacentral:rRNA from 1 species